rnacentral:lncRNA from 1 species
CUCUGACCACAAAUGUCAAUGACUUUGAGCCCUUGUAAUUUUUAGGGUGUUGGAUUGAAUCCUGGUUUGUCAGCACAACCUUGCUGUCGACUUGGACUUUUUAAUCUAGAAAAGAGAUUACUGAAGAAGGGAAAGGUGAUAGGUAGGAGAAAGAUUUGUGAAAAUCAUGAAGAAGGUAGUUGGGAAGUGGUUGUUCGGUAUGCCUCCUAAAAGAGCAAUUGAGAGCACUGAACGGAAAAUCUGGGGGCAGGUUCAAAGCAAACAAAAGGAGGUGGCUGUUCACAAGCAGGCGGUGAAGCUAUGAAACUCCAUGCACAGGAUCUUGUUCGCAUGGAUUCAAAACCAUGAGGAAAUGGUGGAAGUUGGCUCUAGCACAUUUCAACAACGUUACUCAGCCAAGCAUAAGAAUAAGAGAGCAGAAUGGAAAAAAGAAAGAAAAGAAACACAGCGGUCUUUGGAACAUUUACUUUUUGCCAGGAUUUGAGGUACUUUCAGUUUAGGAACAUUUUCCAGCUUCCCUAUUAAAAAACCUUUUCUUAGCUAUAAAUAGUGUUAGUUAGGCAGCAGUGAGUGGCAAGUGAAAUUUCAUUUGAUAACAAAAUUUCCAAAUCGGAGAUCUCUGCUCUUUCAGCACGUGUAUAGCCAUGAACAAUGAGGUCUUAUCUUUCAAGGAGAUGAGAUCUUUGAAUUGAAUUCUCAGAGAGAUGUCUUUGGCAGUGUGUUCUUCUGGUCUCUCUCCCUCACUGCACAGGAGUUGUGAAAAGAAUGAAGUUGUAUAUUGUAGUGGAAGGACCAGACUCUUGCUGUUCUAACCGAGCAUGUGGAGGCUAGUGGGGAAUUAUUCUUUGUUUUUCUUCCUUAUCUCCAGUUUUCUCCAUGUGAUCCUAGGUGAGAGACAAUGUUCCAGAUUCUCAGCUGGUAGAAAUGCAUCCACUGUGGCCUAAGGAAUAAGUGGCAUUCCCACUUUUGGUUGUUACGGUGAAAGACUGAAUAAAAACGCUGAGGAUGGCUGAGGCA